UACGGGGGGGGCAAGCGUUGUUCGGAAUUACUGGGCGUAAAGGGCUCGUAGGCGGCCAACUAAGUCAGACGUGAAAUCCCUCGGCUUAACCGGGGAACUGCGUCUGAUACUGGAUGGCUAGAGUUUGGGAGAGGGAUGCGGAAUUUACGGUGUAGCGGUGAAAUGCGUAGAUAUCGGGAGGAGCACCGGUGGCGAAGGCGGAUCUCUGGGCCUUACCUGACGCUCGAGGUGCGAAAGCUAGGGGAGCGAACAGGA
rnacentral:rRNA from 1 species